rnacentral:rRNA from 1 species
AUUGAACGCUGGCGGCAGGCCUAACACAUGCAAGUCGAGCGAGCGGCGGACGGGUGAGUAAUGUCUGGGAAACUGCCUGAUGGAGGGGGAUAACUACUGGAAACGGUAGCUAAUACCGCAUACCAUCAGAUGUGCCCAGAUGGGAUUAGCUAGUGGGUGGGGUAAUGGCUCACCUAGGCGACGAUCCCUAGCCGGUCUGAGAGGAUGACCGGCCACACUGUGACUGAGACACGGUCCAGACUCCUACGGGAGGCAGCAGUGGGGAAUAUGGCGCAAUGGGCGCAAGCCUGAUGCAGCCAUGCCGCGUGUGUGAAGAAGGCCUUCGGGUUGUAAAGCACUUUCAGCGGGGAGGCGUUACUCGCAGAAGAAGCACCGGCUAACUCCGUGCCAGCCGCCGCGGUAAUAC